UACGUAGGGUGCAAGCGUUAAUCGGAAUUACUGGGCGUAAAGCGUGCGCAGGCGGUUUUGUAAGUCUGACGUGAAAUCCCCGGGCUCAACCUGGGAAUUGCGUUGGAGACUGCAAGGCUAGAAUCUGGCAGAGGGGGGUAGAAUUCCACGUGUAGCAGUGAAAUGCGUAGAGAUGUGGAGGAACACCGAUGGCGAAGGCAGCCCCCUGGGUCAAGAUUGACGCUCAUGCACGAAAUCGUGGGGAGCAAACAGG
rnacentral:rRNA from 1 species